rnacentral:lncRNA from 1 species
GUCUGGUGGCUUGUUUGUGAGGUAUUUUUGAAGCCGUUUUUCGGAGGUGGAAUCAGUGAUUAGACGAGUAUAAGAGAUGAUCCACUGUAUUUUGAGAUGUUAUGCUGGGAUGUUGAUUAAGAACUAAUGCAAAUCAUGGAGCCUCAGCAUCAGACGCCGCAGCAGUGAUUAAGCAGGCCGACAUUCACAAGUCCUUGACACCCGAAACAACAAUAGGAGACUACAAGACCAUGGUUGCAUCUGAAAUCGAGCUGACUCGAACCCCGUUGUUGUGGUCGACUCCUUUCUGUGUCUCAAGUUUGUCGACGAACAUGGCGAGCUACUGGACAAACUGGUAACAGCAGGAAAUCCGCCCAUUUGGAGGAUGAUUUUAAGACAGACAACAUUAAGAGCUGACCGCUUUGAGAUGGCCUGGAGCAAAUUGAAGCACUGAUUGAAUCCAGAGCCGAAGGAGCUUAAAAGAAUCAAGACCCACUUGAGUUUGAUGGAGAGCAAGAGAGACAGACGCAGCUGUAUGUCCACGAGCUAAAGCUCAUCAGCCUCAACAACAGGGAGCAGACUCACUUCAGGCGCUGAGAGCGAGCUGUUGGUGGAGUUUCGUCAGCCAAUCGCAGAUGCUGCAUCACGUCCAGGUCUGUGAGUGAGCGUUUGCUCAGUAAACAUGGCCAUACCUCAGCUGAAGACUGAGUCAACAGCAGAACAGAUGGCGAGAUCCUGCAGGAGAGGUUUGGUGUACACAGAGCCGGGACAUCAUCUCUUGAAUGAAUGAGGAGACAAAGACAGAUCACAGGCUUACAGAAAGACAGCUCCAAUGAAAAAAAAGUGAAAUCAUUGCGGACGCUUUGGUUGAAGCAGGGGUUCAUAUGACUGGUACAGUAAUCCCUUUCUGACUUUAACUUGUAUGUUGUGGAAAAGAAAAGGAUAGGAAAAGAUGUUAAGAGAGGGGAGUUUUAGGCCAUGUUUACACUAAUGUUUUUUAGUUUUAAAACGCGAUUUUAGAAUGAAAAAAAAUUCACAUCCACUGGUGUUUCAGGCUUUUUCGUAUUUCACCAUGCAUUUCCUCUGAUAAAUCUUUAUUGUGUGCAUAUAGCCUGACAUUAAGCACAUGUUGCCAAAACCACACAGUGAGCCUAAAGUUUCUUAUUUUUCAAUGAAAACAAAAGGAGGCAGUUAUUGUUUUGUUAUACAUUUGCA